rnacentral:rRNA from 1 species
GAGUUUGAUCAUGGCUCAGAUUGAACGCUGGCGGCAUGCCUUACACAUGCAAGUCGAACGGCAGCAUGAUCUAGCUUGCUAGAUUGAUGGCGAGUGGCGAACGGGUGAGUAAUACAUCGGAACGUGCCCUGUAGUGGGGGAUAACUAGUCGAAAGAUUAGCUAAUACCGCAUACGACCUGAGGGUGAAAGUGGGGGACCGCAAGGCCUCAUGCUAUAGGAGCGGCCGAUGUCUGAUUAGCUAGUUGGUGGGGUAAAGGCCCACCAAGGCGACGAUCGGUAGCUGGUCUGAGAGGACGAUCAGCCACACUGGGACUGAGACACGGCCCAGACUCCUACGGGAGGCAGCAGUGGGGAAUUUUGGACAAUGGGCGAAAGCCUGAUCCAGCAAUGCCGCGUGUGUGAAGAAGGCCUUCGGGKUGUAAAGCACUUUUGUCCGGAAAGAAAUGGCUCUGGUUAAUACUGGGGUCGAUGACGUACCGAGAUUAGUU